AUUGAACGCUGGCGGCAGGCCUAACACAUGCAAGUCGAGCGGAGCGGCGGACGGGGAAGUAAGGCCUAGGACUCUGACUCGGAGUGGGGGAGAACGUCCGGAAACGGGAGCGAAUGCCGCAAACUAUCGGCUGAGGCUAGGUCGGAUUGGCUUGUUGGUGGGGGAAUGGCCUACCAAGGCGACGACCCGUAACUGGUCUGAGAGGAUGAUCAGUCACACUGGAACUGAGACACGGUCCAGACUCCUACGGGAGGCAGCAGUGGGGAAUAUUGGACAAUGGGCGAAAGCCUGAUCCAGCCAUGCCGCGUGUGUGAAGAAGGUCUUCGGAUUGUAAAGCACUUUAAGUUGGGAGGCGUUACCAACAGAAUAAGCACCGGCUAACUUCGUGCCAGCAGCCGCGGUAAUAC
rnacentral:rRNA from 1 species